CCCCUAGAUGUUCUGGGCCGCACGCGCGCUACACUGACGAAGUCAGCGAGCAUGUCCUACGCCGACAGGUGCGGGGAAUCUUGUCAAACUUCGUCGUGAUGGGGAUUGAUUAUUGAAAUUCUUGAUCAUCAACGAGGAAUUCCUAGUAAGCGCAAGUCAGCAGCUUGCGUUGAUUAUGUCCCUGCCCUUUGUACACACCGCCCGUCGCUACUACCGAUUGAAUGGUUUAGUGAGAUCUUCGGAUUGGCGCCACUGCGGCUCAGCAAUGGGCUCGGUGGAUGCCGAAAAGUUGAUCAAACUUGAUCAUUUAGAGGAAGUAAAAGUCGUAACA
rnacentral:rRNA from 1 species